rnacentral:tRNA from 1 species
AUUUAUAUAGUAUAAUUUAAUAAUUACAUUUAAUUUCCAAUUAAAAAAUUUAAUUUAAUUUAAUAUAAAUA